ensembl:misc_RNA Metazoa_SRP Metazoan signal recognition particle RNA
GUUCAAUGUGGUGGAGCAUGCCUGUAAACCCAGCUACUCAGGAGACUGAGACAGGAGCAGGAGGAUGUCUGGAGUCCAGAAGUUCUGUACUGUAGUGCACUAGGCCCAUCAAGCGUCCUCACUAAGUUUGGAAUCAGUAUGGUGACCUCCCAAAAGCAGGGAGUUACCAAAUUGCCUAUGGAGGAGUGGCCUAGCCCAAGUCAGAAGCAGAACAUGUCAGAACUCCUGUGUUAUCAGGAGUGGGAUCAUGCCUGUGAAUAGCCACUGCUGUAUAGUACCAUGGUCCUCUGCAUCUGG